UACGUAGGGACCAAGCGUUGUUCGGAUUUACUGGGCGUAAAGGGCGCGUAGGCGGCGCGGUAAGUCACUUGUGAAAUCUCUGAGCUUAACUCAGAACGGCCAAGUGAUACUGCAGUGCUAGAGUGUGGAAGGGGCAAUCGGAAUUCUUGGUGUAGCGGUGAAAUGCGUAGAUAUCAAGAGGAACACCUGAGGUGAAGACGGGUUGCUGGGCCAACACUGACGCUGAGGAGCGAAAGCCAGGGGAGCAAACGGG
rnacentral:rRNA from 1 species